UACGUAGAAUGCAAGCGUUGUCAGGAUUUAUUGGGUUUAAAGGGUGCGUAGGUGGCUUUUUGAGUCAUGGGUGAAAGCCCGCAGCUCAACUGUGGAAUUGCCUGUGAUACUGAGGAGCUUGAGUGCGGUUGAGGCAGCUGGAAUUGGUGGUGUAGCGGUGAAAUGCAUAGAUACCACCAGGAACACCGAUUGCGAAGGCAGGUUGCUAAGCCGUAACUGACACUGAGGCACGAAAGCGUGGGGAGCAAACAGG
rnacentral:rRNA from 1 species